GUUGUCUCUCGCACUCACUUACUCUUCCUUCUUUCGCCACUGUGCCAGACAAAUUUAAAUGUAUCUGUUCAAGUGGAGAUAAUCCAUGCAAAUCAGAGCCACUGCUCCCAAGUGCUCGAUUCACAAAGAGAACUCUGCUUGAGGAGGUCACUCGUUCACAGCUGCUCCUCCCAUUAUAUUUCUCCCCCUUAUAGCAGAACUGCUGCUUGUAUACACUGACUGAAAGGACUCAAUUUACUGCAACUGCUGCCUGGUUUUACUUACAACUUUCUUUAAAGCGGGACAUACCUUCCAGCUAUCUUGCAAAGAAAGAUGUAAGUCUUUAAAGACAUCUUCUCAUAUGGUGUGGAAAAGUAUGGUUUUAAAGUUAUGCCUCCAUAGCAGCAGGCCUAGAAGCGACAGUAAUCAAGUCUGGAGCCCACCUCCAGUCUCAUAUGGCUCUUGAACUUGACAUCACUGAGGAGAUCCUCAGGGGUACCCCAGUGACCUAAUCUCAAAUUUCAGCUUUUUGCCAAAAAUUGUUGAGCCACUAGGCAACAAACAGCUGGGCUACUAAAACACCUCAUGUUUAUUUCUGGUGAGUGUACACUAUUAUCUCCUCUUUUCUCAUGGUAAAUGUUCCUUGUUAGGUUUUCUUACCUGGUCACUUUGCUUGGGAACCAGCAGAGCCCAAAGGAAAAGUACCUCCUUAUCUGGACUGAUACUUAAAAAUAUGGAAUAUGGGUAGAAGUUCGACUUUGGUCCAGAAAGGCUUGCUCUGGAAGCAACACAAAUGAGCAAAGUCACUCUUCGAAGUUGUCUUCUGUGUACUAUACUGUACACAGUGUAUAGUGUACACUAUAAUCC
rnacentral:lncRNA from 1 species